AUUGAACGCUGGCGGCAGGCCUAACACAUGCAAGUCGAGCGGAUGAAGGGAGCUUGCUCCUGGAUUCAGCGGCGGACGGGUGAGUAAUGCCUAGGAAUCUGCCUGGUAGUGGGGGAUAACGUCCGGAAACGGGCGCUAAUACCGCAUACGUCCUGAGGGAGAAAGUGGGGGAUCUUCGGACCUCACGCUAUCAGAUGAGCCUAGGGCGGAUUAGCUAGUUGGUGGGGUAAAGGCCUACCAAGGCGACGAUCCGUAACUGGUCUGAGAGGAUGAUCAGUCACACUGGAACUGAGACACGGUCCAGACUCCUACGGGAGGCAGCAGUGGGGAAUAUUGGACAAUGGGCGAAAGCCUGAUCCAGCCAUGCCGCGUGUGUGAAGAAGGUCUUCGGAUUGUAAAGCACUUUAAGUUGGGAGGAAGGGCAGUAAGUUAAUACCUUGCUGUUUUGACGUUACCAACAGAAUAAGCACCGGCUAACUUCGUG
rnacentral:rRNA from 1 species